AUGCAUGCCACCACACCUGGCCAUCCUCCUGCCUCAGCCUUCCAAAGCACUGAGAUUACAGGCAUGAACCACCAUACACAUGGCUUGUUACUGGUCUUUUUCGAGAUACAGAGUUUUACCAUGAUGCCCAGGCUGAUCCUGAACACCUAGGCUCAAGUGAUCCACCCCAUCGUGGCUUCCCAAAGUGCUGGCAUUACAGGUGUGAGACACAAUACCCAUUCCCUAUUGACUUUAAUAUAAGUACAAACUCUUUUAUUUG
rnacentral:lncRNA from 1 species